rnacentral:rRNA from 1 species
GACGAACGCUGGCGGCGUGCUUAACACAUGCAAGUCGAACGGAAAGGCCCUGCUUUUGUGGGGAGCUCGAGUGGCGAACGGGUGAGUAACACGUGAGUAACCUGCCCUUGACUUUGGGAUAACUUCAGGAAACUGGGGCUAAUACCGGAUAGGAGCUCCUGCUGCAUGGUGGGGGUUGGAAAGUUUCGGCGGUUGGGGAUGGACUCGCGGCUUAUCAGCUUGUUGGUGGGGUAGUGGCUUACCAAGGCUUUGACGGGUAGCCGGCCUGAGAGGGUGACCGGCCACAUUGGGACUGAGAUACGGCCCAGACUCCUACGGGAGGCAGCAGUGGGGAAUAUUGCACAAUGGGCGGAAGCCUGAUGCAGCAACGCCGCGUGCGGGAUGACGGUCUUCGGGUUGUAAACCGCUUUCGCCUGUGACGAAGCGUGAGUGACGGUAAUGGGUAAAGAAGCACCGGCUAACUACGUG